CAGGGGCUUAAUAGCCCGGGGAGUCCCAGGGGCCAUCGUGAAUGUCUCCAGCCAGGGCUCCCAGCGGGCAGUAACUAACCAUAGCGUCUACUGUGAGUGCCCCAGCUGCGCCCUCAGCCCCACCCCCGCCACAGCCUCGCCCUCAUCACCGGCCCCAGCUCCAGCCAGCUUCGGUUCCUCUUCAUAGGCUCCACCAAGGGUGCCCUGGACAUGCUGACCAAGGUGAUGGCCCUAGAGCUCGGGCCCCACAAGGUGAGCAGGGCUGGGGUACCUCCCCCAACCUAGGGCACCCCACUUGCCCUGCUGACCCCAGCUGUCCCGGUGUAGAUCCGAGUGAAUGCAGUAAACCCCACAGUGGUGAUGACGCCCAUGGGCCAGGCCGCCUGGAGUGACCCCCACAAGGCCAAGACUAUGCUGGACCGAAUCCCACUUGGCAAGUUUGCUGAGGUAGAGCACGUGGUGGACGCCAUCCUCUUUCUGCUGAGUGACCGAAGUGGCAUGACCACGGGCUCCACUUUGCCGGUGGAAGGGGGCUUCUGGGCCUGCUGAGCUCCCUCCACACACCUCAAACCCCAUGCCGUGCUCAUCCUACCCCCAAUCCCUCCAAUAAACCUGAUUCUGCUGCCCA
rnacentral:sRNA from 1 species